UGGGGAAUCUUGCGCAAUGGGCGAAAGCCUGACGCAGCCAUGCCGCGUGAGUGAUGAAGGCCUUAGGGUUGUAAAACUCUUUCACCGGGGACGAUAAUGACGGUACCCGGAGAAGAAGCCCCGGCUAACUUCGUGCCAGCAGCCGCGGUAAUACGAAGGGGGCUAGCGUUGCUCGGAAUUACUGGGCGUAAAGGGCGCGUAGGCGGAUCAGCAAGUUGGGGGUGAAAGCCCGGGGCUCAACCUCGGAAUUGCCUUCAAAACUGCUGAUCUAGAGUACGGGAGAGGUGUGUGGAACUCCGAGUGUAGAGGUGAAAUUCGUAGAUAUUCGGAAGAACACCAGUGGCGAAGGCGACACACUGGCCCGUUACUGACGCUGAGGCGCGAAAGCGUGGGGAGCAAACAGGAUUAGAUACCCUGGUAGUCCACGCUGUAAACGAUGAUUGCUAGUUGUCGGCAGGCAUGCCUGUCGGUGACGCAGCUAACGCAUUAAGCAAUCCGCCUGGGGAGUACGGUCNCAAGAUAAAACUCAAUGAAUUGACGGGGUCAUAGCUG
rnacentral:rRNA from 1 species